rnacentral:rRNA from 1 species
UACGGAGGGUGCAAGCGUUAUCCGGAUUCACUGGGUUUAAAGGGCGCGUAGGUGGGAUGGUAAGUCAGUGGUGAAAUCUCCGGGCUUAACUCGGAGACUGCCGUUGAUACUAUCAUUCUUGAAUAUUGUGGAGGUAAGCGGAAUAUGUCAUGUAGCGGUGAAAUGCUUAGAUAUGACAUAGAACACCAAUAGCGAAGGCAGCUUGCUACACAAUUAUUGACACUGAGGCUCGAAAGCGUGGGGAUCAAACAGG